rnacentral:rRNA from 1 species
UACGAAGGGGGCGAGCGUUGUUCGGAAUCACUGGGCGUAAAGGGCGCGUAGGCGGCCCUCCUUGUCGCGUGUGAAAGCCCCGGGCUCAACCUGGGAACGGCGCGCGAGACGGGGGGGCUGGAGUUCGGGAGAGGAGCGUGGAAUUCCCAGUGUAGCGGUGAAAUGCGUAGAUAUCGGGAAGAACACCAGUGGCGAAGGCGGCUGCCUGGCCUGUAACUGACGCUGAGA